UUGAAACCUCGUUUAGUAUCUACAAACCUAUCUUCUCCAUCUUUCUCUCUCUAAACAACCCUAGAGAGAGAAGGAGGUGGAUCAUGAUCUACGUAUUUCGUCAACAUAGGUCAUGAUCAAUUCGUUUCUAGUCAUUUCAUCUCUUUCUCUGUCAACCCACAACCGAUCUAACCGUCCUCAACAACCUCUCUCUUCGUUUCCUAAAUCAUUCCAAAAAUGGCAUUAUCGAAAAGAUCAUUCAAGAAUUUCGUGGUAGAAGAGCUCGGUGAAUUCCCUCAUUUCCUGCUAUGGGCUAUUCUCGAAUGGAUACUAAUCGCAUCUCUUUACAUCGAUGGGCUCCUUGCGUUUCUCUCGAGCGUAUUCGCCAAGAUUUUCGAUCUGGAACCACCAUGCGUGCUCUGCACUCGUGUCGACCAUGCACUCGUGUGUAAGGACCCGAAUACUUAUUACAACGACUCCAUAUGCGAGUGCCACAAAAAGGACAUAUCUUCGUUAGCAUAUUGCCAUAUUCACAGAAAACUUGCGGAUAUCAAGAACAUGUGUGAAGGUUGUUCUUUUGCGUUUGCAACUGAGAAAGAACCUGAUAUACAGUCGCUUUUGGGGAGGAUGCAAAAAGAGAAGGAUGGGUUUACUGAAGACGAUAAGAAGGUUUUGAAGCCUGUGAAUAAGUGUUCGUGUUGUGGUGAACCUUUGAAAAUGAGAGCUGCUUCUAAAGAUUACACUAGAAGCCUUUCAAACCUUCGUGCUUCAACAGCAUGGAAAACCGAGGAUUCACGGUAUACAGAGCUCAGAUUUUUAUCAGAUACCGAGCCAGAUAUGCCAGAGUACCACUUCGGUUUAAGCACAUACGCUAAAUAUGACGAACUGCAUGAAGACUGUUGUAGAACUCCAAAUUUUUUAAAAAGCAACAAGUUAUUUGGGAUCCCACUAACAGAUUCAGGUUCAGUUAGCCCGAGACGUGCUAACAGGAUUUCAAGAAAAGCAUCAAUGGAAAAAUACGAUUUGGCAUCAGACAAUGAUGAAGCUUCAGGAGAUGGUGAUUCGAGUCUUCAACAGAUAAAGAAACAAGCACGUAUAGAUCAAAAGACUCUUAUGAAGUUGUCUAUGGAGCUUGAUGAAGAAAGAAGCGCUGCUGCUAUUGCAGCUAAUAAUGCUAUGGCAAUGAUCACACGGUUACAGGCUGAGAAGGCGUCUGUGCAAAUGGAGGCGUUGCAGUAUCAAAGAAUGAUGGAAGAGCAUGUUGAGUAUGAUAAGGAAGCUAUUCAAAUACUUAAAGAUUUGUUAGCUAAGAGAGAUGAACAUUUAAAGGUUAUGGAAUCAGAACUUCAGAGUUACAGAGAGAAAUAUGGAGAAAUUAGGAAAGUAGGUAGCGAUCAAUGUGAAGCUGAUGCCGAUGAAUAUUACCAGGAAUGGAGAUCUCAAUCUUUGUCAUCUUUCAGUGAGAAAUCCGAAUCCCAAUCCCGGAGCCCUUUAAAAGAUGAUCAUGAUCAUGAGUUCGAGAGCCCUUUGGUGAAGGAUGAUGAUGAUGAUUUUGAGUCAUGGAGCCCUCUGGGAACCGAUGGCAAAGAUGGUGAUCAGAGCCACUCCGGAAGGGGCACCUCAUCGUUAGAUUUUGAAACUGAAAAAUAUCAGCUUUACGAGAUGUUAAAGAAUCUUGAAAAUCAUAUCCAGACGUGUUCAAUGGAGGAUGAAUGGGAGGAUGAUGAAGAUAAAGAUAUAGUUAAAGAAAAUAGGGCAACCCUAAAUAGAGAGAUAACCGUAAUCAGGGAGAGAUUGAGAGCCUUAGAAGCAGAUAGCGGAUUCUUGAAGCAUACUGCAAUGACACUUCAAAAGGGUGAAAAAGGAGCUGAACUUCUAACAGAGAUAGCUCAACAUCUACGGAAGCUACGUGAUCACUCUGAUCAAUUAAACAGAAUAGAUGCUUAAAUUUUUCUAUACUUGUUUCUAGGUACGACAUAUGAUAUAUUUUGGAAGGAAAAGCAACCAAAGGAGCCAGACACAAGUUGUGGGGAACUCUCAAAUCUCAACCUCGUGUUAUUAGGAUCCUGGAUGAAUGGCCUUGCUCAAGAAUGGGAGGCAGCAGUUGGUGGUCAAAGAAGCAUAAUGACCACUGUCGGAAGCAGAUGGUAGAAGAAGCAUGAUGAUUGCCUUGUUUGGUUGUACCAUGUGGGAGGUUGUGGUCUUUCUUGUUCUUCUUUUCCUGAUUUGAACAAGUUAUGCUUCAUCGGGAGUUUUUGCAUAGC